CACCCACAGGCAGCUCAGUAAUUUUGUCUGCUGCAGUUCCCCCUUCCGCCUCCAGAAACACCUGUGCUCGAACGUGGCAGCCUUGGCCCUCAGCGGCUCCCAGUGCCUGCAGCGUGCCCUUGCAUGCACUCAAUGGGGCAGAGUCCCUGGAGCAGGGGCAGCACUUGUGGACCCGCCCUCCCAUCGCAGGCCAGCAGUAGCCGCCGCCGCCCCAGUCUGAGGAAGGGGGCGUUAGUGGAGGAGCGAAUUUAUAUGUCGACUAAAAAUGGAGAAGAAAAAACCCCAAAGAGAAGAGACAAUGAGUCACAGUUUUUGGCAAGCAUAUCCAUUACUAGAUGUCAGCUGUGUAGAUAGCAGUGGUGAUGUGAAGAGCUGUACAGACUGCUGUGCUGCACCUGGGCCUCCUGAUCGAUGAAGCAAUAGUGUGGUCUCUGAACAGACCCUUUUAGCUGCUUUUCUGGCUGUUAAUGGCAGCAAUCAAAGGUAAUUGGAGAGAAGGCAGUUUGCUGCCCUUGAAUAAAACCCACCAAAAGUGCUACCAUCAGGUGGCUUAAAA